rnacentral:rRNA from 1 species
GAUGAACGCUGGCGGCGUGCCUAACACAUGCAAGUCGAACGGACAUAAUUUGAAACCUAGUGAGAAUUAUGUUAGUGGCGGACGGGUGAGUAACGCGUGGGUAACCUGCCCCAUACCGGGGGAUACCAGCCGGAAACGGCUGCUAAUACCGCAUAAGCGCACAGCUUUGCAUGAAGCAGUGUGAAAAACUCCGGUGGUAUGGGAUGGACCCGCGUCCGAUUAGCCAGUUGGCGGGGUAGAGGCCCACCAAAGCGACGAUCGGUAGCCGGCCUGAGAGGGCGGACGGCCACAUUGGGACUGAGACACGGCCCAG